CUCUCUAGGCUCAGCUUCCAUCACCGCGUGGCGGAGCCCGUGUCCGGGCCAGACAGCCAACAUGUGCCGCGGGAGCCCUGAGAUGAUUCCGAUGCACGGAGGGAGCCGGGAAACGCUGGUAUUUCUGCCUGUCACUUAUUAUCUGGUUGAGCUGGUGGCGGGAGUCCCGGCCCAUGUGUGUUACCAGAGGGAUGGUCUAGAGAAUGAAUCCAUCUGUCAGAGGCAUCCAAGAAGAAAGGCCUGGGCCAGGAUCACAUGGAAGACCCUGAAGACAGGAUCGGGUCUUGCCUGCCUGGAUUGAACAGAGACGCAGUGACCAGUCCCAUCUGCUCCCACCCUGCUGCCCUCUGAAUCGAGAGUUUGAGGCCAUGACCAGGGUAACGUUCAGCUGGUAGAGACAACACAACCCUGCUGGCUGUUUAAGCCAUGCUGGAGUGGUGCUCACAGGGUAACAAUUGUAAGUAUUUUGAAUAUCACCUCUUAAUCAAAAUUAAGAUCAA
ensembl:lncRNA novel transcript